GUGGCGAGUGGCGAACGGGUGAGAAUACAUCGGAACGUACCCAGAAGUGGGGGAUAACGUAGCAAAAGUUACGCUAAUACCGCAUACGUUCUACGGAAGAAAGUGGGGGAUCGCAAGACCUCAUGCUUUUGGAGCGGCCGAUGUCUGAUUAGCUAGUUGGUGAGGUAAAGGCUCACCAAGGCGACGAUCAGUAGCUGGUCUGAGAGGUCGCCAGCCACACUGGAACUGAGACGCGGUCCAGACUCCUACGGGAGGCAGCAGUGGGGAAUUUUGGACAAUGGGCGCAAGCCUGAUCCUAGCAAUGCCGCGUGAGUGAAGAAGGCCUUCGGGUUGUAAAGCUCUUUUGUGCGAGGGAAGACAACGGCAGUGGCUAAUAUCCUUUGCUAAUGACGG
rnacentral:rRNA from 1 species